GUGGAUUAGAUACCCUGGUAGUCCACGCCGUAAACGGUUGGUACUAGGUGUGGGUUCCUUUUCACGGGAUCCGUGCCGUAGCUAACGCAUUAAGUACCCCGCCUGGGGAGUACGGCCGCAAGGCUAAAACUCAAAGGAAUUGACGGGGGCCCGCACAAGCGGCGGAGCAUGUGGAUUAAUUCGAUGCAACGCGAAGAACCUUACCUGGGUUUGACAUACACCAGACGCGGCUAGAGAUAGUCGUUCCCUUGUGGUUGGUGUACAGGUGGUGCACGGUUGUCGACAGCU
rnacentral:rRNA from 1 species